AGGGAAUAGAUACCCGGGUAGUCCACGCCCUAAACGAUGUCGACUAGGUGUUCGGUGAGGAGACUCAUUGAGUACCGCAGCUAAACGCGUGAAGUCGACCGCCUGGGGAGUACGGUCGCAAGAUUAAAACUCAAAGGAAUUGACGGGGACCCGCACAAGCGGUGGAUGAUGUGGAUUAAUUCGAUGCAACGCGAAAAACCUUACCUACCCUUGACAUGUACGGAACCCUGCUGAGAGGUGGGGGUGCUCGAAAGAGAGCCGUAACACAGGUGCUGCAUGGCUGUCGUCAGCUCGUGUCGUGAGAUGUUGGGUUAAGUCCCGCAACGAGCGCAACCCUUGUCAUUAGUUGCUACGCAAGAGCACUCUAAUGAGACUGCCGGUGACAAACCGGAGGAAGGUGGGGAUGACGUCAAGUCCUCAUGGCCCUUAUGGGUAGGGCUUCACACGUCAUACAAUGGUCGGUACAGAGGGUUGCCAAGCCGCGAGGUGGAGCCAAUCCCAGAAAGCCGAUCGUAGUCCGGAUCGCAGUCUGC
rnacentral:rRNA from 1 species